rnacentral:lncRNA from 1 species
UUUUUAUUUUCUUUUCACACGGAAGUGAUAUUUCUUAGCUAUAAGAGUGCCAAACGGCCAUCAGAGGAUUUAAUUUGUCAAUAGGCUGCAUGAAUACCCAGGCCACCUCCAUCUGCUGCUGUGACAGAACACAAUUAACAGGAAAAUCCCAGGUACUUGCCUUCACUAAUUUUUCAAAUCUCUUUCUGGCUAGUUUGGAAAAUUUGCAUAAGAAAUCUAACUUUGAACCUUGGGCUUAUGUUCAGGCUUUAUCUUUCGGUUGUGUUGGUCGCAGUGAAGGAUGCAGGCGAGUGGGUAGAGCAGAGCAAGAAAAAGCUCAGAAAUGUCACAAGAUGAAUCUGAGCAGAAUUCAAGGAAGCAAAAUGGUAGCAGGAGCCAUCCCACUCGGCAGCUGA